UAUUCUCUGUAUCCUGGAAGCCUAUGUGCUCAGACCAGCUUCCAGCACAUGGUCACACUUUAUUUCCAGCUCUGUAAACAUCCUACUAACAGAUCCUUCCUCUCAGCUGGUUAUGAGGAGACAACAUCUCGGCAUGCAGUUGAAAACAAGUAAACCAACGCACACAGCAACCCAAAGCAAUGAAAUGCCCCAACAAUAAUAUUGACUUUUUAAAAGAAACUUCCUGAAGCACUGAUGAGUGGAACAGGGAACGUGUUAACUGAAGGUAUCUCUGUUAAGCAACAGUGGUUGAGGAUUUGAGGAUUUUCUGAGGAUUGGAGAAGGGGGAGAAACUAGAGGAACAUGUUCUCCACUCAGACAUGAGGCCCAUGCUCCAGAAAACCAUGCCGAUGACAAACAUCCUCCACGGCCCUAUUUCCAAGUCUGAUACAAUCAGUUCAAAUCAUAAUGGACUGUAAAAUGCAUUAAAAUGUAUUGAAUUUCUUUCACCACACUGUCAUUCUUUAGCUUUCCUGAUGGA